AACUUUGUUUUGUCUUGCUGC
rnacentral:siRNA from 1 species